rnacentral:rRNA from 1 species
GGGAAUUUUCCGCAAUGGGCGAAAGCCUGACGGAGCAAUACCGCGUGAGGGAGGAAUGCCUUUGGGUUGUAAACCUCUUUUCUCAGGGAAGAAGAUCUGACGGUACCUGAGGAAUAAGUAUCGGCUAACUCCGUGCCAGCAGCCGCGGUAAUACGGAGGAUGCAAGCGUUAUCCGGAAUCAUUGGGCGUAAAGCGUCCGCAGGUGGUUUCCAAAGUCUGCUGUUAAAGACUGGAGCUCAACUCCGGAACGGCGGUGGAAACUUGGAAACUAGAGUUCGGUAGGGGUAGCAGGAAUUCCCAGUGUAGCGGUGAAAUGCGUAGAUAUUGGGAAGAACAUCGGUGGCGAAGGCGUGCUACUGGACCGUAACUGACACUCAGGGACGAAAGCUAGGGGAGCGAAAGGGAUUAGAUACCCCUGUAGUCCUAGCUGUAAACGAUGGAAACUAGGUGUGGCUUG